rnacentral:rRNA from 1 species
UACGUAGGGGGCGAGCGUUGUCCCGGAUUUAUUGGGCGUAAAGAGCUCGUAGGCGGUUGGGUAAGUCGGGUGUGAAAACUCAGGGCUCAACUCUGAGACGCCACUCGAUACUGCUCUGACUCGAGUCCGGUAGGGGAGCGUGGAAUUCCCGGUGUAGCGGUGAAAUGCGCAGAGUAUCGGGAGGAACACCAGUGGCGAAGGCGGCGCUCGUGGGCCGGAACUGACGCUGAGGAGCGAAAGCGUGGGUAGCAAACAGG